GUAAUCGAGAGAUCCAAGACCAGUCCUAUGUCAAGCCGCACAGUAGAUGCCUGAUGGUAGCAGUCAACCUAUUAAACUGUUAUAAGCCCCUUCUCUUUUUUUAAUGCAACUACGAGGGACAUUCCGACCCUGAGCACGUGCAGACGUUUUGUACGUGUAUGUUGGACAGCCCUACGUAGCCGCGGUCUUCAAAGAGCUUGAACCAAACCCACACCAGUGUUAAUUUCCCCCUCCUCGUGGUGCGGCGGGAUCUUUGUUCACGGGCUGGAGCCGAGCCACAUUCCGUCAUGCGUGACAGCACGCAGCGGACUGUGCUUUGCUGCGCAUGACCAAUCACAGAGGCGGGCAACAGCCAAGGACUGAGAGAGACAGAAGACCGGAGGGUUCAUGCACCGAACAUCAGCGCCUUCACCAGGAUCGGUUUCUUUGUUGGCGUUCAUACCCUUGGUGCACUACAAUUGUUCUCGAUACCUGCGCUUCUUCCUGUGCUCUGUAUUUGCACCAUUGUGUACUGAACACGUGAGUGGGCCCAUUCCAGCAUGUAGAGGACUGUGUGAAGAAGUACAAGCUGAUUGUCAACCUGUAAUGGAAACCUUCAAUUUCCCAUGGCCUUCCAUGCUCAACUGUUCCCGGUUCCCUGUACUGGAACAAAAGGGACUCUGCAUGCAGUUUCCAAAUGCCAGUGAAGAGCCAAUCCACGCAAAUAGCGAGAGUGGUGGAGUGACCUGGGCAGUAAAUCCUGCUCCAGUACACACACAACAAUGUCCACCCAACUUUGCUCGCGCUCGCGAGCCAAGAGCCAUUACCUGCAGUCCUCGCUGUGGUCGAGAUGCAUAUUACAGAUCUGAGGAUAAGAAGUUUGCUGAGACAUGGAUGAUUGGAUGGGCAUGGCUGUGCUUCCUUUCCACUCUCUUCACACUUCUUACCUUCUGGGUCGAGCCAGCCAGAUUCCGCUACCCUGAACGACCAGUGAUCUUUCUUGCCGUAUGUUACAAUCUGCUGGCCCUCGCUUACAUUUUACGUGGAUUAUUAGGGCCUACUGCCUUCAGCUGCGUGUCUCCUUCAGAUGGUGGAGUGCCUUACGUUGCUGUCGACGGUCUGGAGAGCGGUCCAUGUACUCUCACCUUCCUAGCGCUCUACUACUUUGGAAUGGCAUCCAGUGUGUGGUGGGUGGUGCUUGCAACUUCGUGGUUUCUGUCAGCUGCAAAGAGAUGGUCAUGUGAGGCCCUACAUAGAUUAUCCACAUACUUUCAUAUAGCAGCAUGGGCUGGCCCAGCUGUGUUGGGUGUGGUGGCACUUGCCUUACAUCAUGUGACAGGAGAUGAACUAACAGGAUUGUGCCAGGUGUCUGAAGGCGCAGCUGUACCAUUUUUGGUUGUACCACAUGCAGUGUUGCUUCUUGUAGGAUGUGUUCUUGCAGCAUUAGGCGGAGCAGCUUUGAUUCAAGUGCGUCAAGCCAUGAAGAGUGCAGGCCAAAGUACUUCCAAGCUUGAAAGACUCAUAACACGCUUAGGAGUAUUUGCAGCUUUAUAUGUGCUCCCUGUAAUGGGCUCCUUAGCCUGUGUUCUGUAUGAAGCAUGGCACAGACCACGCUGGCGCAGCCUGGCACUGCUUGCGGCCCUCGACUGUCGUAUUGAGCCAAGCUGCACGCCUGGGCCAUCAUACCAGGCUGCCGGUGUAGAGGUGGCACUCCUUCGGCUCUUCUUGUCCCUCGUUGUCGGAGUGACUUCUGGGAUGUGGGUGUGGUCGGGAAAGACGUGCCGUGCCUGGAGUAAACUCUUCACAGCGCCUCGCAAACCUCGGUUACAUUCAUUGAACAUCUCCAGGAACACUUUUGGUACUGGAUCGCUUCAUGUGUCUCGGGUUUGAAGCGCAUAUCUGUAGAUAAAUCAGUGUGCUGAUACUCUCGAAGUUGAGCUUUGUCUGCUUUUAUAACAUUGAACUGUGGUAUUGUUAUGCUGAGGACCUCUAAAAUGUUUUUACUUUUCACUUAUUUUCAGUUUUGUUUUGUUGACGAGUGACUGAAGUGGGACAUGUUUCUUAGAUGCAGUCCCAAAUUCAUACAAGACUAUGUAUUCAUGGACAUUAAGAGUGUGUGAAAGUAACGUUUAACACAAUAAGUACCGAGCUUAUUAAACAUUAAUUUAUGUUUACAAGUGGAAUAAUUGUACAUAUAUUAAGAUCUAAUGAAUGCCCUUUGGUAUGUGCUCUGUAGUGUGUAGAGGUGAUUACAUGUAUACAAUUUAUGCACAUAUAUUCACUAUCAGGAGCAUGAACUGUCAUCAGACAGUUAUAAAUUAACCUGAAAACAUUGAAGCAUUUCCCUCUUUAAAGGCAAAUGAACAGUAUAUGUAUAUGUUAGAUGAAUAACAAUUAUAUGGUGUAUGAUGCAAUUUAUGGUUUUAAAUAUGUUAAUGCAGAGAACAUGGCUUUAUUGUUGACUGUGUAGAAGUAUAUUGAUUGCGUGCUACAGCAGGAUUAUUCCUGUUUAAUGUUAAAAUUUGUCUUCUAGAAAAUCCUUAAAUUGGGAUUUGCUGUGAAUACAAAUGUCUGAGACUUCCAAAUAACAAGUGUCCAAGGUAUUCUACAAAGCAUGUGAAUGAUUUUAUAUUAUGCAAUGCACUACAGAACACCCAGCAUAAAUUAUAUUACUCAAUCCCAUAUUUAGUGAAAACUAAUGUUUAUCAUCAUCGUCGUCAUCUUAUAUUUUAUGGUGGAGUUUUAAAACUUACUGCUCAUUUUGCAAUAGCAAUUUAGCCAUAUUAGUUUGUAUACAGAUUCAUGCACAUAUUCACAGUAAUGAAUUUACAAUAGUAUGAAAUUUCACAUUACUGCAUAAUGUGUAUUUAACAUUUUGUAUGUUUGUAUAAAUUUGUGUUAAUUUUUUUUAGUGAUUUCAUUGAACAGAGACAAUAUUAUUUAAGGUAAUGUGUUAAAAUAAUCAAAGUUAAUUUUGUUGAA